rnacentral:miRNA from 1 species
UGUGUCUGUGUGUGUGUGUGUGUGCGCACGCGUGUACACAUACAUACAUACACACACACACACACACCGGGAAGGC